CUUUUAAACCAAAUCUAGCUUCUAUAGCAAAGAGGCAUUUGAUAAAAUGUGAAAAUCCAGGGAAGCAAAAUGUUGGUUUUAAAAUACAAAAAAAAACCCUAGCGAGAUCAAAAGGAAAACAACCUCUACACCAAAGCUGAGCAAAGAUCAGUGUGGUAUGAAGUGGAGCGGAUUCAACUAAAACAAAUGCUUUCCAGGAGGAGGGGUCAUUUAACUAGGGAAGGAGGGACAAGCUGGAAAGUUACUUUCAUUGGAGGGUAUGGGAUGUUUGGAUGGCAGAUUCUAAUUGGAAGGUUGAAGUCCAAUGCUUUAAAGGAGAGCAAAGCUGGAGUUUUAAAGAAAUAUCCUUUCACCUGUAUUCAGGCUCAUGCUCUUCACAUAAUUUUAGCCAGAAAAAUAUAGCCAAGGCUGCAACAAAUGUAACACCAAAUGCAAACUGCAUUAUACAGAAUCAACUUUUUUUAAAAAAAACACAGGUGAGGGAAAAAAACAGUCAGAAUUAGUUAUGCAGUUAUCAUAAGCCACCAUAAUAAAUAGAUCAAUAAGAUAUAGCAGGGAAAAUGUAUUUCCUUACCCAGAGUGAGGAUAAGGAGAACUUUUUACAUGGCUUUUAUGGUAAAAUAUAGAUUCAUAGACUCUAGGACAGGAAGGGACCUUGAGAUGUCAUCGAGUCCAGUCCCCUGCCCUCAUAUCUCAAUAAUGUUGUGCUAGCAAAAUCUCUGAGCCUGUUUGCAAUCUCCUUCAAACCAGCUUAAACUGAUGUUACUCCACAGAUUUUGACAGAGUCUGUGUCAUUCUUGAUUCCAACAGGCCUUAUCGCCCUCAAGGUAUAAAAACCUCAAAGUCUGACCCUUCCAGGCUUAUUUGGAAGGGAUGUCCAUGUCUGCUAGUACAUGAAACUUAAUCCAGCUGAACGGUAAACAGCCAUUUACAGGCUGCCCAAGCAGUGCAAUCAAGCAGGGAGAAGGAACCACUAUCGUGGCCAAGAAAACAGCUUGCAAUAAGUGCUGCAUGGUUCAGACUUCAACUUAAGCAAGUUUCAUGUCACCUGCUCCACCCACUGUCCAACCCUAACUAACCUCAGGCCUGUGCUUCUGAUAUGAGCCACCUUCCUUGCUACGGAUUCUUGAUCCAAACUUUGGGAGCAGCUUUCAGGCCAGUGAGCUCAGGGGCCUGGGAAGGGUUCUGCCGUGGAAUCAAGGAAGGCACUAGCGAGGGAAAUCAGACCGGCUGCUACAGGUGAGCGAGAGGUAUCAGGAAAGGGAAUGUAUCCCAAGAUCAUGGAGAGAAAGAAGAGGGACAUUGGGUUUGAUCUUUUUUAUUUGGGGGGGGGGGGUCCCCUCACAAAGAAGGCUGAUAUACUGGGGUUAGGUAAGAAAGGAUCUGUGAUUCUUUUCAGGAAGGGGGGGGGAAAAGAGAGAAGAGGACUGGCCUAAGAACCGGGAAAACCAAACAAAAAGCUCUAGUUUUUGCCAUCAGGUUUUUAGUGCAGUUAAUAAACCCUCAAUGCUUUGAGGAUGUUUAGAAACACACACACACACACACACACACACACACACACACACACACACAAAUAAGACUUUUGUGCAAAGAG